UCCAUGCGAGAUAUUGUAGUAAUACAAGGCAGACGGCUCAGUAACGCGUAGUCAACCUAACCUAUGGACGGGAAUAACCUCGGGAAACUGAGUAUAAUGCCCGAUAGAACAUUAUGCCUGGAAUGGUUUAUGUUCCAAAUGAUUUAUCGCCGUAGGAUGGGACUGCGGCCUAUCAGUUUGUUGGUGAGGUAAUGGCCCACCAAGACUAUUACAGGUACGGGCUCUGAGAGGAGUAGCCCGGAGAUGGGUACUGAGACACGGACCCAGGCCCUAUGGGGCGCAGCAGGCGAGAAAACUUUGCAAUGUGCGAAAGCACGACAAGGUUAAUCCGAGUGGUUUCUGCUAAAGGAACCUUUUGUCGGUCCUAGAAACACCGAUGAAUAAGGGGUGGGCAAGUUCUGGUGUCAGCCGCCGCGGUAAAACCAGCACCUCAAGUGGUCAGGAUGAUUAUUGGGCCUAAAGCAUCCGUAGCCGGCUCUAUAAGUUUUCGGUUAAAUCUGUACGCUCAACGUACAGGCUGCCGGGAAUACUGCAGAGCUAGGGAGUGGGAGAGGUAGACGGUACUCGGUAGGAAGGGGUAAAAUCCUUUGAUCUAUUGGUGACCACCUGUGGCGAAGGCCGGUCUACCAGAACACGUCCGACUGUGAGGGAUGAAAGCUGGGGGAGCAAACCGGAUUAGGAACCCCGGGUAGUCCCAGCUGGGAA
rnacentral:rRNA from 1 species